UGGGGAAUUUUGGACAAUGGGCGAAAGCCUGAUCCAGCAAUGCCGCGUGUGUGAAGAAGGCCUUCGGGUUGUAAAGCACUUUUGUCCGGAAAGAAAUCCUUGGCUCUAAUACAGUCGGGGGAUGACGGUACCGGAAGAAUAAGCACCGGCUAACUACGUGCCAGCAGCCGCGGUAAUACGUAGGGUGCAAGCGUUAAUCGGAAUUACUGGGCGUAAAGCGUGCGCAGGCGGUUUGCUAAGACCGAUGUGAAAUCCCCGGGCUCAACCUGGGAACUGCAUUGGUGACUGGCAGGCUAGAGUAUGGCAGAGGGGGGUAGAAUUCCACGUGUAGCAGUGAAAUGCGUAGAGAUGUGGAGGAAUACCGAUGGCGAAGGCAGCCCCCUGGGCCAAAUACUGACGCUCAUGCACGAAAGCGUGGGGAGCAAAACAGGAUUAGAUACCCUGGUAGUCCACGCCCUAAACGAUGUCAACUAGUUGUUGGGGAUUCAUUUCCUUAGUAACGUAGCUAACGCGUGAAGUUGACCGCCUGGGGAGUACGGUCGCAAGAUUAAAACUCAAAUGAAUUGACGGGGUCAUAGCUGUUUCCU
rnacentral:rRNA from 1 species